CAUAUAUCUAUCUUACAUUACAAGUGGCAGCUUUGAGGUGAUAGCUUAUUACAUUUCAUCGAAUAAGAUUGCUCCUCUUCUUGAUGUGUUCAUGUCAAAGCCGAUAGAUGUACAACUCAUUUCCUCAAAUUUUCUGUUAAUUUAAGGUUGCUUGUGUCGCAAAAAAGUACGUCACUCGACGGAUAUUUGCAGCCGGGCGAGAUGUAGUGUAACUCUUGGUACGAAUUGUAAAAUGUGAAUUUCUAUGGCAUGAUAUGUCUAAAUCCUGAUGGAUGUGCUUUAAUGUUGUUUUCCCUGCAUCGACCUGUAAUCUUGUGUUGUCUGAAUCAAGUUUUUAUCUUUUGUUUGAUGAAGAUUUUCUUUUUUGCCCA